rnacentral:rRNA from 1 species
AUACGGAGGACGCGAGCGUUAUCCGGAUUCAUUGGGUUUAAAGGGUGCGCAGGCGGCCGUGCAAGUCAGCGGUGAAAGCCCGGGGCUCAACCCCGGAAGUGCCGUUGAUACUGCAUGGCUGGAAUGCGGUCGAGGCGGGCGGGACGGGGCGUGGAGCGGGGGAGAGCAUAGAAAUGCCACAGAACGCCGGUAGCGGAGGCACCGCGCCAGGCCUGGAUUGACGCUUGGGCACGAAAGCGUGGGGAUCGAACAGUAUUAGAUACCCUGGUAUCCCACGCCGUAAACGAUGGGCGCUCGUCGUCGGCGGCAGACAGUCGGCGGCCAAGCGAAAGCGAUAAGCGCCCCACCUGGGGAGUACGGUCGCAAGGCUGAAACUCAAAUGAAUUGACGGGG